rnacentral:rRNA from 1 species
UAACCUACUAAAUAGCGCGACUAGCUUUUGCUGGUGCUGACGCUUCUUAGAGGGACUAUCGAUUUCAAGUCGAUGGAAGUUUGAGGCAAUAACAGGUCUGUGAUGCCCUUAGACGUUCUGGGCCGCACGCGCGCUACACUGACGGAGCCAGCGAGUCUAGCCUUGGCCGAGAGGUCAUGGGUAAUCUUGUGAAACUCCGUCGUGCUGGGGAUAGAGCAUUGCAAUUAUUGCUCUUCAACGAGGAAUUCCUAGUAAGCGCAAGUCAUCAGCUUGCGUUGAUUACGUCCCUGCCCUUUGUACACACCGCCCGUCGCU